rnacentral:lncRNA from 1 species
GGUGGAGUACAUGAUGUACUGUACAUCCAAUGUCAGUUUUCCCACGAUUUCCCUGCAAAUCCAAAAGUUAAUCCUUUACACAAAUACAGAGCAACACUAUUAUUUCUCAUAAGACCUAAAAAGGAAUAAGACCUAGUUAGGGUUAUAAAAUCUUUCAAGCCACGAAACCUAACCUAAGCUAGCAAAAGAGCGCUAUGAUAUCGAUUACGAAGGGUUUACAGAAUUAUCCCAGAGUGAAACUGGAUGACAGAACAGAGGAGUCUCGAGCUUCCGCUUCGGCGGUGCGUUGGAUUGGACCUGAUUGUGAUCAGCGGAUCAAUUAUCAAUAUUUUCACCUUGCACCAUUGUAGGAGUGACUGCGAGGGUGGAGAAACGACAGGAUUUUCGA